UUUCUUCAUAGCAGAGGUUCUCCAGCCCUCCAAUCAUCUUAGUGGUCCAUAUUUGCAGGGCACACUGCUCCCUGCUUGCUCACUACGUGCAAUGUUUUUCACCUCGUAGAGUUUGGUUUUCCAUCCCUGGGGCUGGGGAGGGUGCAGCAGGAGAUUGGGGCUCCAGGAGAAGAGCCUUUGCUCCCUCCUGGCUUCACAUAUCCCUUCCCAGGACAGCUCUCUCGUGUGCAAUGCCUAUGGUGGAAGGGCAGCUGUGCCCCUGUGCUUGUGGGCAGGGCUCUGCACAGUCGGCAUGGCUGUGGUUGGUUUCUGCUCUCCGCUCUACUUGAUGACCUGGGUUUUCUCAGUAAGCAGCACGAUGCACUCGCAGGAAGUGGGAAAUUGAGCAGUUUCUGGUUGUGAAGCCAUGAAAGCUGGGGUGCAUUUAAUCUUAGAGGCAAACAGUAGCAAGGGGCUCAUCUCCUAGCAUUAUUUACUGUGCCCACUUCCUCUAGGGUUGGUUCUUUGCAGGUUCUUUCCAGUAUUACACUCUUCUAUUUCUACUGUACCUGUCCUAAAUUUGAAGACAGACACUGGAGUAAAUACUGGGCACUGACACAGCCCUGUGAACAAGAUGCCACAGAUGUGCUCUCAUGCCACAAAGAAACAAAACAAAUAGACUACACAAGCUGCAGCCAGAAAGUGCAUGAAGCAUUGCUUGCUGCAAGCACUGGGGCUGUGGAGAGAUGCUCAGUUUGCCACCUGUGAGCAGAUAUCUUCCAAAAACAGCAACAUCCAAUUUGAAAUACAUGAAAUGAAACUGAAAACAAACUCCCUCCCUCCCGAAGCCCUGCUUUCUUGAAUGUGAGUGAUUCUCACCCUUUGGAGCAGUGGUCACUGUGCUGCUGGCCCUCAGGGUGAAGGCAUUACAACUUGCACAAUGCAAUGUACAUUUUUCCAUAGGAUGAGUCAUAGGAAUCCAGUUAUUGCACACUGUCUGCAUGGUGAGGUAGUGAAAGAUCCUCAUGAAGUGGGGAAAACACAGAAGUGGCUCUGCCUCCUUGGCUUGUUGUUUGUAGUAAAUAUAUUUUACCCAAUUUUAGCAGCUUCUUUUACUCAUGGGGUAAGGUUGUGUUCAGCUGAUGCCUGGGAAAGUUCAUCUGGUAUCUGCAGGGUUUGGUGCAUAAGAAUAACCAGUGUCACCAAUCCUGUCAGUGCAGCUUGUGUCCCCUCAUGCAGGCUCAUGGCCACCUGGGGACACCUCAGGGUGAGGCAUGCAGGGUGAGGAUCAGUGGAGGUGACACGCAGAGCCUGAGAGAUGUUGGAGAGACUCAUCCCAAAGUGUGAAACAGAAAACUGAUGGUUGUGCUCCAUGUCAAGGGACAGAAAGAAACACCGUGAGCUCAUACGUGCUGCUGUUUGUGAAACACUGCUGAGCAGCAGUGAGCACAGCUCCAGCACAGGGCACCAUCCCUUGCCAAACCCCGGUGAUGGAGUACAAUCAGGAGUGAAAGCGACAGCUCUGACCUGAUGUGGACACUUCACAGGGAGCUCGCACUGCAGGGCUGGUCUGAGUCACCACACACACACCUGAAACCUGAGAGAUCAGAGCAGCAAAAUGAGACACAGCUGAGCUCUUCUUCUAGCAGAUGGUUUUCCCAGAAGGCUUCGCAUACCUGCAUGCCUGGAGUCUGGUGGGGCUGGGUCUUGCGGGUUGGUGGGUUUGCUGGCAGCAGAAGGCUGCUGCUGCUCUUGCUGGGACACUGAGCAGUGUAAGGUCUUCUUUGGGGUGUUGACAGAGGGGGCUCUGUGCCCACCUCCCAGGGCUGCAUCCUCUCCUUUCUUGCUGCUUGUUGCAGGCCAGAAGCGGAGUGCCUGAGCCAGCUACUGUUUAUGACUCCUCAAAAGCUGAAAUACGUUGUGAACGUCCCCCACUGCAGACUGCACCAGUCGGCAUCUCUGUUCCUGUAGCAUCCUGUCUGCAGCAGCCAAGCCAGCAGGAAUGUCCGUGGGCUGAAUUUCUCUAAGGAAAAAGAGUAGAGAGUGAUGCAGGAGUUACAGAGGCACUCCAUCCCAAGGCUCUGCAAUUCCUCAGGGCUCUUUAGCUGCCUGGGAUGAGGCUCCAGCCCCACAACACUUUCCACCAUUCUUGCAGACCAGCAGUGAAUGCAGCCCUGGCUAUCAGAAUAUCCCAGAUUGAAAAGGACUCAUAUGGAUCAUCAAGUCCAACUCCUAUUUGUACAUCCAAUUUCCCUCGUAAUAUCCAUGUCCUGGAGAAACUGGGCAGCUUGGGAUGCUCCGUGUGGUCUCAGCAGCUCUGUGCUCUCUGAGAGAACUAACAGGAGACUGAAGCAGCUCAUCAAGCACAGCAAGCCUGGGCAGGUGGAGAACUGCAGGGAAAUGUUUGAAACUACCACUGAACAGCAGAA